GGCGAACGGGUGAGUAACGCGUUGGUGACCUGCCCCGAAGUCUGGGAUAACCCUGCGAAAGUGGGGCUAAUACCGGAUGUGGUCAUCGGAUUUAGAAACCGAUGUCUAAAGGAUUUAUUCGCUUCGGGAGGGGCCUGCGUCCCAUCAGCUAGUUGGUAGGGUAAUGGCCUACCAAGGCGACGACGGGUAGGGGACCUCAGAGGGUGGCCCCCCACAAUGGAACUGAAACACGGUCCAUACACCUACGGGUGGCAGCAGUAGGGAAUAUUGCACAAUGGGCGAAAGCCUGAUGCAGCAACGCCGCGUGUGCGAAGAAGGCCUUCGGGUCGUAAAGCACUUUUCUGCGAGAUGAGAAAGGACAGUAUCGUAGGAAUAAGUCUCGGCUAACUACGUGCCAGCAGCCGCGGUAAAACGUAGGAGGCGAGCGUUAUCCGGAUUCACUGGGCGUAAAGCGCGUGCAGGCGGUUUGGUAAGUUAGGCGUGAAAGCUCCCGGCUCAACUGGGAGAGGUCGUCUAAAACUGCCAGACUUGAGAGCGGUAGAGGAAAAUGGAAUUCC
rnacentral:rRNA from 1 species